rnacentral:lncRNA from 1 species
ACUACCCCUUUGUCCAAGUGCCUUAUAACAUGUCUUUAUAACUGGCUGUGUAAGAAUGAAGAAAAGCUGUCCAUCUUCUGAGAAGGAAGCAGCAUGUGCCAUCCUUCUGUCAGAAAACACCAAAGAGAUGAAGAAAUGAGAAAUCCAGAAACCAAAGACCUUGCUCUUUUGUCAAACAGACUUGGUAGAGCAGAGUUGCAAAAUCAGACCUUUGGGGGCUUGCGUGUUUCUCCUCUUACUCCCUGGUGUAGAAGCCCUGCCUUGAACUUCAGGCUGCCUGGCUUGGAUCCUGAUGCUGCUUUGCUGACACAAUCCAUUCUCCCAGGGAACACCCAGAGUUCCACUCCAGCCCUGGCAACGCUGCAGCAGAGGCCAACUGUACGGAAAGUCUACAUUGGCUCGGAACAAUUGAGGCUGGGAGAGGGUAUCACAGCAAUUUCCCCACAUCCAUUCCAGCUGGUGAUUUCCUGCUUGGUCGUCUUUUAAAACCCAGCCAUCUGAAUCCGAGAGUUGCUUCUUCAGCAAGGCCUCCCCUGACUCCUUCAGAUGUCUAAGCACCACCCCUACUCUUCUGCUGCAGCAUCUCCACUUGCUUUUGUCCUUCAUCUCCCUGAAAUUAUUUGCUUACUCAUCCAUCCAUGUCAGUUGCAAAAGCAUGACUUCCUCUAGUCCAAAGGCCAUUCAUGUUCAAUAUGUUAGCACUCGGAGCGUCUCCAGUGGUUGUUUCAAACAAGGCAAAUGAGUUCAGUUGAACUUUAUAUGUUCUGCCCUCCGACUGUGACUGUUAUUUACUUCCCUCCAAACAAAAUGUAAUAAUAAAAUGACUAACUGAACACUGCCCUUUAUAUUUGG